rnacentral:lncRNA from 1 species
AAGAUGAAUAUUGUGUUGUUUCUAUUUUGAGCCUUUAGUUUUGAGGUGUGAAAUGAUCGUCAUGCCCUUAGAGUGGGUUUUGGGGUGUGACAAUACUCUUAACCACCAGCUUGGUCGAGAGACAAUCAUAAAGUAACAAGUCUCACAUGAGGUAUAAACAUAGAUACAAGGGUGUUUGUUUGCUAAAAGAGGCUUGGGACUAUUCUAAAGAUGCUU